GAGCGCCGGUCCGCCGCUGCGGCUGCUCUGCGUUGGCGGCCGGCGCAUGCACGGUGGGCAGCGCAUGCGCAGCGGCGGGGAGCAGCAUGGCGGCGAGCAGGGUCAGCGUUUUCGCUCGGCGGCGGCGGCGGCGGCAGAUGAGAGCAGAGGCCGCCUGAGGUCGAGGAUCUGGGGUCCCUGGGUAGUCCACUGAAGGGGGACAUCUUGAAGAGAAGCAGCUAGACCUAGUGAUCCAGUUGUUGAUUUUGGUCAUCACCUGUGAUGCCAGCAUCCAAGCGUAAGAGGAAUCUAGGAGCUGUAUCAAAAAGGUAAUAGGUUUGAAGCAGCGAUGGGCAAAUCAAGUGCUAUGAUUCUUCCGCGUAGCUAAAGACCGAGAGACUUGUCGGUUAAGCGUGUGUAUACAAGGGUUUGAGAAAGGAUACUGAACAGUAACAAUAAUACUGAAGCAGAAUAAAAAUCAGGUUUCAUGGAAGAUGGUGUAGGUAAGUAUUAGGUGAUGUGCCUGCCUGUCUAAUAACCUAGCCCUAAUUGCUGUACGUCAUGUUUCCAAACUGUUUACCCUGUAAAGCAUGAUGCAAGGUGCUGUAUUAAGACCUUUCCUUUAAGGAAAAGGAAAGGAAAAAAAAAAAGAAAAAAAAAAAGAAUACGGUAAAGAGAAAAAGAACACGCAUAAAUCUAAGUGUUUCACGGCCAAUGAAAUGCAAGUUUCUCUCUUUGUUACAGAGAUGGAACCAAUGAUAGCAAAUGCUGAUGAAGAGAAAAGCUGGACAAACAGGGUUUUGGUGAUUAAUACCAAAGGGACGGAAUGAAACAAGGAAGCAAAAAUACAGCUCAGCGGACCCUUGAUAUCACCAGAAACUGCUGCAGCGGGAGAUAUUCUGGCAUGGGUAACUAAGAUUGAUUGCCAUGGCUGAAGUUGAAGAGACCAGAAAAACGUCAGCAAGCUGAAGUAAUGAAAUCAAAUGGAAGCAACUGAGAGCUGUCUCCAUCGCCCAAAAAGGGAAAGCCCGUUCCUCCUGGCGAGGAAGGAUCACCAUUAAUAGCGAUUGGAAUAAUAGAUCACCAACAUAUAACGGAAGCAGACCGUGGUGGAAGUUACUAGAAAGGAGUCAGGAACGGAACUGGAACAAGGAACGUGAGGCUGCUUUCACUGGACUGGAAGAAGUGACCGUAAAAUCUGCUGCCCUCAAAUUCCCAGGACAAGGCAAGCCUUUUUCAGUAACGCUUUCCACAUCUGCUGAGUCUGUGGGAGCAGCACCGUUCGAAAACAGCGGUAAG
rnacentral:lncRNA from 1 species